AAACAGGAUUAGAUACCCUGGUAGUCCACGCCGUAAACGAUGUCGAUUUGGAGGUUGUGCCCUUGAGGCGUGCUUCCGGAGCUAACGCGUUAAAUCGACGCCUGGGGAGUACGGCCGCAAGGUUAAAACUCAAAUGAAUUGACGGGGGCCCGCACAAGCGGUGGAGCAUGUGGUUUAAUUCGAUGCAACGCGAAGAACCUUACCUGGUCUUGACAUCCACAGAACUUUCCAGAGAUGGAUUGGUGCC
rnacentral:rRNA from 1 species